rnacentral:misc_RNA from 1 species
UCAUGGAAUCUGACCUGGUUAUUGAAGCGUAAUUUGCAGCUGCUGUGAAGAAUUUCAGUCUCGAAUCAAGGUCAAAGGUGAAAGCUCGAGUAUACAGUAGGUCAUAUAUUUUCUAGUUUACUUCUUGUGUUGACAAGUUGUAUAGGUUGAACCUCAUUCACUUGAGAUAUUCUUGUAAAACUUAAUUACAUGGUGGAAUGGGGAGUGGUUAUGUUUCGUUGACAGUUCCUUUGAAAAUUUGUGAGCCCCAAU